UACGUAGGAGGCAAGCGUUGUCCGGAAUUACUGGGCGUAAAGCGCGUGUAGGUGGUGGGACAAGUCUGCUGUGAAAGCGCCUGGCUUAACCGGGCGAGGUCGGCGGAAACUGUCCGACUAGAGGACGGUAGAGGGGGGUGGAAUUCCCGGUGUAGUGGUGAAAUGCGUAGAGAUCCGGAGGAACACCAGUGGCGAAGGCGACACGCUGGGCCGUACCUGACACUGAUGCGCGACAGCAUGGGGAGCAAACAGG
rnacentral:rRNA from 1 species